GAACUUAAGCAUAUCAAUAAGCGGAGGAAAAGAAACUAACAAGGAUUCCCCUAGUAACUGCGAGUGAAGCGGGAAGAGCUCAAAUUUAAAAUCUGGCGUGCCUCUGGUCGUCCGAGUUGUAGUCUAGAGAAGCGUUUUCCGUGUUGGACCGUGUAUAAGUCUCUUGGAACAGGGCGUCAUAGAGGGUGAGAAUCCCGUCUUUGACACGGACUACCAAUGCUUUGUGAUGCGCUCUCAAAGAGUCGAGUUGUUUGGGAAUGCAGCUCAAAAUGGGUGGUAAAUUCCAUCUAAAGCUAAAUAUAGGCGAGAGACCGAUAGCGAACAAGUACCGUGAGGGAAAGAUGAAAAGCACUUUGGAAAGAGAGUUAAACAGUACGUGAAAUUGCUGAAAGGGAAACGCUUGAAGUCAGUCACGUCUGCCAGGACUCAGCCUUGCUUCUGCUUGGUGUACUUUCUGGUUGGAUGGGCCAACAUCAAUUUCGACCGUUGGAGAAAGGCUUUGGGAAUGUGGCACCUUCGGGUGUGUUAUAGCCCAUUGUUGUAUACAACGGUUGGGAUUGAGGACUGCAGCAUGCCUUCAUGGCCGGGGUUCGCCCACGUACAUGCUUAGGAUGUUGGCAUAAUGGCUUUAAGCGACCCGUCUUGAAACACGGACCAAGGAGUCUAACAUGCCUGCGAGUGUUUGGGUGGAAAACCCAUGCGCGUAAUGAAAGUGAUAGCUGAGAUCCUCUCAUCAGGAGCAUCAGCGCCUGGACUUGAUCUACGGAGACGGUUCUACGGUAGAGCAUGUAUGUUGGGACCCGAAA
rnacentral:rRNA from 1 species